rnacentral:RNase_P_RNA from 1 species
UCAACCGGUUACUCUAUCGCGUCCCGAUUUAUCGGGGCGAGGAAAGUCCGGGCAGCAAAGGGUAGCGUACUUCCUAACGGGAAGGAUCCCGAUCUUGAUCGGGAUAUAGAAAGUGCUAUAGAGAUUUAAACAUCCCCAACGAUGUUGGGGAGAAAGGUGAAAAGGUGAGGUAAGAGCUCACCAGGCCGGGUGGUGACAGCCGGUGCUUUGGUAAACCUUACGCGCUGAAAGACCAUGUAAACUCCGAAAUCCAACGUGUUUGGAAAUCACGGCGACCCGCUGUGUUAAAAACGGAGAGGGUAGGUCGAUUGAGCCCCGCGGUGACGCGGGGCCUAGAUAAAUGAUAGGGCUCGACAGAACCCGGCUUAUCGACCGGUUGAACUU